CCUUCCUAGGCCAAGGAGCCGGUAUCAGACACAAUUACAGUCCACAACACCUAGUCUCACCACACCCCCAAGGGUACUCAGCAGUGAUAAAUAUUGAGCAUAAGCGAUAGCUUGACUCAGUCAGAGAAAAGAGAGCCGGCCAACCCGGUGCCAGCCGCCGCGGCUACCCCGUGGGCUCGAGUUGAUGAUCAUCGGCGUUAAGCGUGAUUAAAGUUCAUCUAGAUUAGGGCCAAACUAAUACUUAGUAGUAAAAAGCUUGUUAUUAAGAAGAACAUAAACGAAAGUUGCCCUAACUCACAUACUUGAAUACACGACAGUUGGGAAACAAACUAGGAUUAGAUACCCUACUAUGCCCAACCGUAAACAAUUAACCUACAUCUAUAAGCGCCUGGGAACUACGAGCUAUGCUUAAAACCCAAAGGAUUUGACGGUGUCCCACCCAACUAGAGGAGCCUGUUCUAUAAUCGAUGAUCCCCGAUAUACCUAACCACCCCUAGCUCAUCCGUCUGUAUACCUCCGUCGAAAGCCUACCAUGUGAACGUUUACAGUAGGCCCAAGGACCCACAUUAGCGCGUCAACACGUCAGGUCAAGGUGCAACUUAAGGAGUGGGAAGUAAUUGGCUACAAUUUCUAAUCUAGAACAAACGAAAGACAGUGUGAAAUCACAGUCACGAAGGCGGAUUUAGCAGUAAAAAGAAAAUAGAGAGUUCUUUUUAACCCGGCUCUGGGACGCGUA
rnacentral:rRNA from 1 species